rnacentral:lncRNA from 1 species
UUUUUUUUUAACCAUGACUGUGCAAUGUCUCAUUCCAUUAGGCUAACAGUGCUACCCCUUAGCGAGCUUUCAACCAACGACUCCCAGACCAUAUAAGACCUUAGGGCGCUAGGUGUUAAGACACCCCUUCGGGCGUACUUGCUCAAGUAACAAAGGCCCCGAAACAAAACUAGCCACGGUAUUUUUUUUUUUUUUUUACUGAAGCUUAUAUAUCCCAAAUUUUUCCCCCAAACUUAAGUUUUUGUCUAAAUUCAGUCAUCGCCGCCUAUUCAUGUCUUUCAUUCAUUUAAACUAGUAUUAUCCUCAAGAAGUCCAUUAUGUGUAAAUUUAAACUCAAUCAGUUAACAUAGUUGUUUUUACUGUGCUAUCCUUAUUAUAUCAGUUUCAAACAGGUAAAGAUUCAAAUCAUGACAAGAAAUCACAUCACAGUCUUAACAGUCAGUACUAUACUUGUCUACUCAAUUCCAAUCUCAUCACUGGCCAAAACAGACUUAAACUAUCUAACAGCUGGAAACAUGCAAAUAUUUGAAAUUUUCUUUUCUUUUUCCAUUUUUUUU